GUCUUGUGUUGGAUAAUUGUCCCGAUGUAAAUCGGGGAGGAAAGUCCGAACACGCCCCAUAUUUAUGUGGGAGAAUGGUAGCGGGUAACACCCGCCAUGGGCAACCAUAGAGGUGCGAGCAGUGACGCUUAUGUUCGAAAGAACAAAGUAUCCAACUUGUUGGAUAAACUCCUUGAGUAAUUAAGGAGGUGAAACGGCUAAAUCCUUACCUGCGUGCAAGGCCGUAUUGUAAGAAGUUCUUGCAAGGUGCCGCUUGAUCCGCCAGGUAACUGGCGAGACAGAUAAAUAAUUAUCGUCCCGAUAUAAAUCGGGAUACAGAAUUCGGCUUAUAGACACAAGGCAACA
rnacentral:RNase_P_RNA from 1 species